AAUGUAUGUGUGCGUGGCCUUUUUUCUUUUUUCUUUCUCCUUUUUGAAAUGGUGUGUGGCCCUGGUUAGAGAGGUAUCGCCUGGCCAAAGCGUAGACAAGGGCGAACUCAAGGAGACUCACUGUUUGGCAUCAAAUUCACCUGGUCCACUCCGCCUCUGGCGGCCUCGUCGUGAUGUUGAUGAUAAAAUUAAAUGUCUAGUGACUUCUCGAAGUGUUUGACAGCUAAUCAUUAGUGCAAAGACCCCCCCCCCCCCUCCCAAACUUUUUUUUCACGAUCGGGUCAUUCCCGUUUUUCAUUAAGAGGGAAACAACGAACAGUACAGGUGUUCCGAGCACACUACGGCGAGAAGCCAAAGUGAUUGGGAGGAGUUUCAAACACAACAGUUAACAGGU
rnacentral:lncRNA from 1 species